CCUACGGGUGGCAGCAGUGGGGAAUAUUGCUCAAUGGGCGAAAGCCUGAAGCAGCGACGCCGCGUGAGGGAUGCAUGUCUUAGGAUCUUAAACCUCUGUCAGCAUGGAAGAACAGUCACUGUGCUAAUCAUCAUUUAAUUUACGUUACCUUCAAAGACAGCACCGGCUCACUCCGUGCCCGCAGCCGAGGUAAUACGUAGGGUGCGAGCGUUGACCUGAAUUACUGGGCGUAAAGCGUGCGUAGGCGGUAUGUCAAGUCAAUGGUGAAAUCCCCGCGCUCAACGUGGGAACUGCCUUUGAAACUGGCAAACUGGAGUGUGUGAGAGGAUAGUGGAAUUCGAGGUGUAGGAGUGAAAUCCGUAGAUAUCUGGAGGAACACCAGUGGCGAAGGCGACUAUCUGGCACAUAACUGACGCUGAGGAGCGAAAGCGUGGGUAGCAAACAGGAUUAGAUACCCUGGUAGUC
rnacentral:rRNA from 1 species